AAUAGAUACCCUGGUAGUCCACGCCGUAAACGAUGAACACUAGGUGUAGGGGGUGUCGACUCCCCCUGUGCCGAAGCUAACGCAUUAAGUGUUCCGCCUGGGGAGUACGGCCGCAAGGCUAAAACUCAAAGGAAUUGAACGGGGGCCCGCACAAGCAGCGGAGCAUGUGGUUUAAUUGGACGCAACGCCAAGAACCUUACCCGGGCUUGACAUGUUCCUGACCGGCCUGGAAACAGGUCUUCCCUUCGGGGCAGGAUCACAGGUGGUGCAUGGCUGCCGUCAGCUCGUGUCGUGAGAUGUUGGGUUAAGUCCCGCAACGAGCGCAACCCCCGUCGCAUGUUGCCAGCAUUAAGUUGGGGACUCAUGCGAGACUGCCGGUGACAAACCGGAGGAAGGUGGGGAUGACGUCAAGUCAUCAUGCCCCUUAUGUCCGGGGCUACACACGUGCUACAUUGGCGCGUACAGAGGGCUGCGAUACCGGCGAGGUGGAGCGAAUCCCUUAAAGCGCGUCUCGGUUCGGAUUGCAGGCUGAAACUCG
rnacentral:rRNA from 1 species